UUUUAAAAUUUUAUCCUCCAGAAUGCGUCCGUUUAAUGUGGUUCAAUAAAAGUUUUGGAUUAAGCAGGGCGAUUAAAUAUUGAAUGUAUUUUAUGCAGGUAUCUUUCUUCAUAGUGUUGAUAGAUAUAAUGAAGAAAAUGAGCAUCAAGUUAGUAUUGCUGAUAGAUCAAACACAAUUCCACUUCUUGAGGAGAAAUCUGCUGAAACAAGUCCAAGUCUCUGCUGAUUCCUAGUUUACACUUAAACAAAUGAAAUGUGAAUUUCUUGUAUUAUUAUCUUUUUUGUACCUGCUGAAACAAGUCCAAGCCUCUGCUGAUUCCCAGUUUACAGUUAAACAAAUGAAAUGUGAAUUUCUUGUAUUAUUAUAUUGUUUGUAAAUUGGAAACAGCCUCUCUGCCCUUUCGGGUAGGGGUAAGGCCCGUCUACAUAUUACCCUCCCNNNN
rnacentral:lncRNA from 1 species